UCCUUUUGCCUUUCCAGUUUGCAAAGCUAGGGUUGCAGCCGCCGCCGCUGCCGCUGCCACUGCCCCAUCUCUCCUCCGGCACCGGGCACCGAAGGAAGGCCGACUUCUCCCACUCUUCUCCUCUUUGAUUGCUACCUCAUAGCAAGGCGUGGCCCAACUCUUCACCAUGGCGCCGACAGCAAGGCAGGCAACGCCGCGAGCUCUCGUCACGAGGAAGCCGCAGGAGGACGAGGUCAAGCCGGACUAGGUCGAUGUGCCCCCCUGCCACACCUCCUUCUUCUCUUGCUGGUUGGUUGCUGGCUUGCUGCUGUUUCUGGUGCCGUUCGUGUCCGACCGGAAGGGCGUAUCUGCUGUCUGUGUCACUGCUCCCUUGCGAGCUCACGCAUCCACAUCGGAGGCUGCCGCUUGCAAAACUGCUCUAAACCUCUAACCCGAGGAGCUCGUUGUCACCAUUGUGUAGAGGAGCACCAGGCUGCAUCAUAAGACGCCUCAACAGCCACCGACGAAGUCGUCGAGCCGAGGUGAGAACCCCCUUCCCACGCCUUCCCAUGUUGCCCCCCUUCGUGGUUCUUAGCCGCUAGCCAUAUGUACUGUCGGUGAGAGCGGGGAGGAAGGGGAGGCAGAAAGGAAGAUGAAUCUGGGACGGACAAAGCAUUUUUUUGUGCUAUCUUGCUUCAAUUGGAACCAAUAGUUUCGUGCCAUGACUUCUAGAUUUUAAUCUUACUUGACUCCGUAUACCUUGUGUUUGAUGAAAUGCAAACGUGCAAGCCUUUUGAGUGAGUUCCUCCAUAUUUCAUCAAUUCAAGUUGGUUCAUACACAUCACAGCAGGGUGUUGAUUUGCAAGUAUACGGUUGAGUAAUAAAAGGAACAUACUGAUUAACUUGUUCGCUGCUUCCUCUGCUGCUGCCCAGCUAAUGAUGUGCACUUUUGCUUUGGCAAAAUGUUUGGCUAUGGAAGGAAAGCCUUUUGGUGUGGUUAGCUACAGAAUUAAUGGUAGCCCCUGGCAAAUGUUGAAGUUUUUUCAUGUAACAAGACCACAACUUUGAAAACUAAGACAUGCGAAUGUGCAUAAUAACAAGGCUGAGAUCAGGGACCCAACCAGUCACCCUAAUGUGCAUAGAAAAGAUUGAAGGGUGAUGCCACAAGGACCGAUGAGGAAAUCAAACUGAGGGUAUCUACGGUUAUCCUAUUGAGAUCCAAGCUCUAUUGUACAUGAAAUUAAGAUGUGCUCUUCAAAUGCUUAAGCCGGAUGGUGAAGGGGAGGACUUCAUAGAAAAGAUACAAAACAGAAGAGUACUCCCACACUGCUGUGAACAGGUUCACUACACAGAAGACUACCUCCAGAAGUGCAUUAACCAAGAUCAUGAUGCAUUGCCAAUCAAGCUUGCAGAUGGCGAGAUCUCCAUCAUCUCUCGCCUCAUCACAGGGAAUGACAGGAUGACCACCAUCACAACCAACUGGACAGAGUUCCGCUGUCAUGCAAACAUGCAUGAGGGUGACAUCUGCGUCUUCUACUUCAGACACAAGGCAAGGUGUACCGUUGAUGAUUGCUAUUAUCUCCUAUAAAUAUAAUUAAUGUAUCGUGCUCAUGUUUAUUGAACCUUCUACCUCUAUUCCUUGCCUUACUUUUGAAUCACCUUAAUUAUCUAGAUAUCAACAUGCUACCUAUGUGUUGUAUGUGUUUAUCACCGGGAUUAAUUUCCUUUCUUCCACUGUCACUUAUCUUAUACUCAUGCGCAUUGCUGCCGAUAUAUUACAAUUUGUUCCUGAUGCUUGCAUGAAGCCAGUCAUUACUGGUACAGUGGCCUAAUUAAUAGCGCACAAUAACGCAUCACGAGGCGCCACCAGGUGGCGUCCCAACCACUAGUUUGUUAUGAUGAAAGCAUGCCUCCUAUUUAUGAUGAUUAUAUUGAUGAAAGUGGGUUUGGAAGAGUGUCAACUUUAUUUAGUGAUGAUUCCACUAUUU